rnacentral:rRNA from 1 species
CGAACGCUGGCGGCGUGCUUAACACAUGCAAGUCGAACGAGAAAGCUCUUCGGAGUGAGUAUAGUGGCGCACGGGUGAGUAAUGGAUAGGAACGUACCUACAGGAGGGGGAUAACCAUUGGAAACGAUGGCUAAUACCGCGUAGUAUCGCAAGAUUAAAGUUGGCCUCUCUCUGAAGCUAGCGCCUGUAGAUCGGCCUAUCUCCCAUUAGCUAGUUGGAGGGGUAAUGGCCCACCAAGGCUACGAUGGGUAGCUGGUCUGAGAGGAUGAUCAGCCACACUGGGACUGAGACACGGCCCAGACUCCUACGGGAGGCAGCAGUGGGGAAUAUUGCACAAUGGACGAAAGUCUGAUGCAGCAACGCCGCGUGAGUGAAGAAGGAAUUAUUUUCGUAAAGCUCUAUCAGCAGGGAAGAAGGCUAAAGAUGUGAACAAUGUCUUUAGUUGACGGUACCUGACUAAGAAGCACUGGCUAACUCC